rnacentral:rRNA from 1 species
GUGCCAGCAGCCGCGGUAAGACGUAGGGGGCCAGUGUUGCUCGGAAUUACUGGGCGUAAAGGGUUCGUAGGCGGUGCGGCAAGUCGGGAGUGAAAUGUCACGGCUUAACUGUGGGGCUGCUUCCGAAACUGCCGUGCUCGAGUGCGGGAGAGGCGAGUGGAAUUGCAGGUGUAGCGGUGAAAUGCGUAGAUAUCUGCAGGAACACCCGUGGCGAAGGCGGCUCGCUGGACCGCAACUGACGCUGAGGAACGAAAGCUAGGGGGGCAAACAGGAUUAGAUACCCUGGUAGUCCUAGCCCUAAACCAUCAGGACUUGGGGUGCAUCUCGUUUGGGGUGCGUCCCGGAACUAACGCGUUAAGUCCUGCGCCUGGGGAGUACGGUCGCAAGACUGAAACUCAAAGGAAUUGACGGGGGCCCGCACAAGCGGUGGAACAUGUGGUUCAAUUCGACGCAACGCGAAGAACCUUACCUGGGCUCGAAGUGUCCCGGACCACCCCGAGAAAUCGGGGCUUCUCGCAAGAGACUGGGAUAGAGGUGCUGCAUGGCUGUCGUCAGCUCGUGCCGUGAGGUGUUGGGUUAAGUCCCGCAACGAGCGCAACCCUU